CCGACGUGGACACCCAGCGAGUUGCUCUCCUGGCUCUGUCCUGGUGGCGUAUGGGAGCGUAGCUCUGAGCCGAGACGUACAGUCCCGUUCCACAACGUCGGAGAGAAAGCCCCCGUCCCCGGCUGACGGCCGGCGAGGACGGGGCGUCCUGCAUAUUCCUACAACUUCCCAGAGUCCUUUUGGGGCCGUUACUGGGGAGCUAAACCAUGCAGUGCACAAAU